AAGAAAGAUAUGAUUGAGUUCAGAGAAUCGGACAAAUCUGUCCAGUCGGAGUGGACUCAGAGAGGGCUUCAAGGAUUCUGGGCGUUGGGACAGCAUGAGCUGCCAUGUAGAGUUUAGUCUGCCUGCCCGCCUUGGUAGUAGUGGCCAGUGCAGUGUCAGCAUCAGCGUCCCAACCCCAUUCUCUGUUUACUGCCUUUGAACAGAACUUCCUCCUUCCCCGUGCUUUGGGUCACCUCGGGUCACAGCCACGUCUGUGCUGGAUUGCCCAGUCUGACCUCGCAGGAAGCAAAGGGACAAGCUUAAAGAACAACCAAACUCUGCCGGUGGUAGAACUGGGGGUGCUAGGAAUGGCUCAGGUCCAGGAGACCCAGCACUUGUCCCUUAUCCCUUCACCCAUGCUGAGGCAGAGUCUGGCUUCCUAGAGGCAGGAGCAGGGAGGGAACCAGGGAGAGAGUGUCGUGGGUCUAGCCAGGGUCUGGACCAGAGGGGCCAGGUGGGGCCGCCAGCACUCUUCAGGGGGCCUCUGCUCAAGUUGGCCUCUGGAUUCCGACCCUCUUCUCAGUUGGCUCUUGCUUUGGGCUGGACUUUCUCUGGAGCCCGUGUCCUGCACAGAACCCAGGUGUCUGGCUGGCUGGUGGGGGCCGCUUCACUCCCUGGCCAAACCCUAGAGCUGUCCUACCAGGCAGCUGUGCACCUCUAGAAUGUCCGCCAGGCUGCAAGGAGGACAAGGAUGCCGGUCCCCACCGCUAUCCUUUCUGCCUUUAGCCACAGCACCUUCACUCUCUGUCCAGCCUACUGUCUACAGGGUAGACAGACAGCCUUGCCACCCCUGAGGGUAAAGCGGGAAGCAGGGAAGAAGGCAGAAGCCCUUUUCCAGGCCAGAGGCUGAGGCACACCUUUCUCUCGACCACAUCUGUCCACACUCACUGGCCCUCCUCAGGGAGGGAGAAGCUGCUCUGUAACUCAUUCUGGCUGUUGGCCCCAUUCUCCCCAUCCUGGCUGCCCUCCACCUCCUUCCCCAUCAUCAAGUGAGAAAGGAUAAUGUGCAAGGAAAGUAUUUUUAUGGAUCGUAAAUGUAUUUUAAAACAAAUAAGGAAAAGAAAGGGAGAAGGGUUUAUUUUGUUAAAUGAGCUCUGACUUUGUGACAGUGUGUGAGCGUUUGCAGUGUAAGGAUCUUGGUUUCCUUGGAGAAGCCACCCCGGUUUCCAGAUAUGGGUGUGGGACUGUUGGGUGGGGGGUGUGCCAGGGCACGUCUCGUGUGUCUACGUGCAUGUAUGUCUGCGUGUGCAGGGUAUGGGCACGCUGUGGGACUUGCUGGGGCAAUUCCUGCGGAAUCAACUGCCCAAUUCUAACAGACACUAGCAGCAGCUGGACUUGGCAUUUCCUUGCUCACUGCCAGAUGUGGCCAACCUCUGCCCAUGCCUGCACCUCUGCAGAAUGGUCUGGAUGCCUGUAGCAAGGCUCAUGGGAAGGCCACUUCCCAUGCCCCUGGCCUACCUGGCCACAUUGGCCAAAGAGCCAGGGCCGGAGUCUGGGACCUUUGGUUGUUCUUUAAGGCACUUCCUGCCACCUUGUCCCUCAGAUGCACAGCACUCUGUGCUCCACAUCAGCUCGGGGUGAGGGGAUGAUAUGAAUGUCACAGGAGGAGACACCUUCUGUCUUUGUUUCAAAGAAAGUGAUGUGCCAUUUGUUAAUAUACAAGAGAAAUACUGAAAAUAUAUUGAAAAGAGCAAUUUUAAAUUAUUUUUGGCUUAUGUUGCAAUAUUUAUUUUCUUGUAUUAGAAAAGAUUCCUUUGUAGAGAAAAAAUGUAUUUUUCAUUAACGCAAAGACCUAUUUCUCCUUUUUG
ensembl:lncRNA